AAACUCAAAGGAAUUGACGGGGCCCGCACAAGCGGUGAAGUAUGUGGUUUAAUUCGAUGAUACGCGAGGAACCUUACCUGGGCUUAAAUGGGGAGUGACAGCUGCUGAAAGGUGGUUUUCUUCGGACACUCUUCAAGGUGCUGCAUGGUUGUCGUCAGCUCGUGCCGUGAGGUGUCGGGUUAAGUCCCAUAACGAGCGCAACCCUUACUGUUAGUUGCCAGCGGGUAGAGCCGGGAACUCUAACGGGACUGCCACCGUAAGGUGAGAGGAAGGUGGGGAUGACGUCAAAUCAGCACGGCCCUUAUGUCCAGGGCUACACACGUGUUACAAUGGCCGGUACAAAGGGCAGCUACCCCGCGAGGGGAUGCUAAUCUCGAAAGCCGGUCUCAGUUCGGAUCGAAGUCUGCAACCCGACUUCGUGAAGUUGGAUUCGCUAGUAAUCGCGCAUCAGCCAUGGCGCGGUGAAUACGUUCCCGGGCCUU
rnacentral:rRNA from 1 species